AUACGGAGGGUCCAAGCGUUAUCCGGAAUCACUGGGCGUAAAGCGCGCGCAGGCGGCUAUUUAAGUUGGAUGUGAAAGCCUACGGCUCAACCGUAGAACUGCAUCCAAAACUAUUUAGCUAGAGUGUGGGAGAGGAAGAUGGAAUUAGUUGUGUAGGGGUAAAAUCCGUAGAGAUAACUAGGAAUACCAAAAGCGAAGGCAAUCUUCUGGAACACUACUGACGCUGAGGCGCGAAAGCGUGGGGAGCAAACGGGAUUAGAAACCCGAGUAGUCC
rnacentral:rRNA from 1 species